AGCUUUGCACAGUGGCAGGAUCGCAGCCAAUGAGGUUUAUCCAAGGCACAAUUAUUGCUAAUUGAAAACGUUUCCUAACACACCGCCAUGACAGCUCGAAAUAUAGUUGGCAUUGGCAAUUUUUGAUAGUCUCUACGGAGA
rnacentral:snRNA from 1 species